AAUAUUGGACUAUGGGGGGAACCCUGAUCCAGCCUUGCCGUGUGUGUGAAGAAGUUCUUCGGAUUGUAAAGCACUUUAAGUUGGGAGGAAGAGUUGUAGGCUAAUACCUUGCAAUUUUGACGUUACCGACAGAAUAAGCACCUGCUAACUUCGUGCCAGCAGCCGCGGUAAUACGAAGGGUGCAAGCGUUAAUCGGAAUUACUCGGCGUAAAGCGCGCGUAGGUGGUGCGUUAAGUUGGAAGUGAAAGCCCCGGGCUUAACCUGGGAAUUGCUUUCAAAACUGACGAGCUAGAGUACGGUAGAGGGUAGUGGAAUUUCCUGUGUAGCGGUGAAAUGCGUAGAUAUAGGAAGGAACAUCAGUGGCGAAGGCGACUACCUGGACUGAUACUGACACUGAGGUGCGAAAGCGUGGGGAGCAAACAGG
rnacentral:rRNA from 1 species